CUCGCCCGCUCAGGUCGCCUCAGGCCCAGCUGAGGCUACGGACGCGGGCUCCUGGGGCCGCGCCGCUUGCUUGUUCACUCGCUCCCUCUGCAAGGAGGGUGCAGCUCGAGGUGGAAAGAGGAGGCGGCGGCCGUGUACUGGAGGAGGCUCGGUUUCCGCGGCAGCAGCGGCUGCAGCGCCGGGUUCUGCAACGGCCUCGAGCGCCCCACCGCUUCGGAUAUUUCCGCCGCCUGCCCGCUUCGGCUCUUCCCGCCUGGCCUGCGUUCUGCGCCUGCGCAGCCACCGGUGCCUCCGCUCCGCGUUGCUGAGCGAUGGGGCUCGGGGUUCGGGUUCUUUCGGCUGGGCUCGAGUAUUUCCGAUCAUAUAGGCCGUCCCACGGUCACUUCCGGGGAAUCUCGCGGGUCCGGGAAGGGGGCGGUGCUGUCCCCAUCUUUAAGUGAGGCAGACGCGAGCCGCUCCGUGCGCGGUCCGGCCGCUCAACUUGCGCUUGUACUGAUCGAGGCGGGUUUCGGUCAAAUGAGGUCCUUGCCCCCCCCCCCCCCGCCGGAGGUGACAGAGGCAGGGUCAUCACGGCAGGCUAGAUCCUGGGCGACGCCAGGGGCGUUGUCUAGAGGGUGUGGGGUCGAGCACCCUCGGUGUCCCAUCGCAAACCCAAAGAACCCGCUCGCGGAGACUCUGGUUGAGGUAAACAACAACUAAACUUGUAUUGUGCCAGAGAGUGGUAAGCACCAAGGAGGUGUACACGGGUGGAUAUUUGGGGGACGGGACUUGGGACUGGGCCUCUCGGCGUGGGUCCUGAGUUCCAGCGGAGGCGCGCCACCAUCUUCCGCCGUCUGCACUGGCAGGUGUGAGCGGGCCCAGCCUUCUCUCCAAUCACAGCUCUGCGUGCUUCGAAGGGCGGGAGGAAGCGGUGCCGGGAGGUCCUGCGACUUCCGGCUGUCACCACGGAAACCGUCAGGCGGGUGAGCGGCGCCGAGAGGGCUGGCCAGGGCGGGAGGCCGGGCCGGUGGGGGCUGCCGGGGCUCUGCCGCUCAGCCCUUGCGCAGCCGAGUGCUGUCGCCUCCCGGAGCUCUGGGAGAAGUGGGCCCGCGGGCGGUCCGCCUGGGCCUGCGCCCGGGGCAUGCUCGUGGGCUCCUCUCAGCCGUCGUCCCGGCCCGCGCCCGCGGUCCUCGCCUCGGCGGAGUGGUCCUGACGCCCUCAGGCCCAGCGCCUCUUCGGACCCGUCCCGGCGUCCACCCGGCUCCCACCCUCACCUCAGGGAGUCGCCUCCGCCUCUCCGUUCCUUGGUCUGGCGUCCAUGCGGCCCAGUCUUCUCGGAGGCCCUGCCCCAUGCGUGCCCGAUCCCACACCAGAGUCCUGUUGGAGAGGACGGCGAGUGUUGUUCCAGGACCCAGGAGACACUCCUUUCCUGACUAUGCCACACAGGAGUGCCCCUGCAUGGGGAGCUGCUGACUUUGCCAGCAUAAAAUCCACAAAGAUGAACAGAAGAAAAAUAAGCCAACAAACCAACCCCUGACAUUUUCUACUCUGGAAAGCAGAUGGGUAAAUGGCAACUGUGGGGCAGACUAAAGGUGAACACUAAGCCAGCAAUGGGGAAAAUUGAAAAAAAUCAACUCGUUUUACCCCAAAGAAGACUUGAAAAGUUCAGGACUUGGAGGUACCAGGUACCUCAGGUUGUGCAUGUGAAGCGACAGGGGCACCAAGCAGGCUGGGGAGGCUGUGUCAGAAACAGAAGCUGGGCAUGGCUACUGCACAGAACAGCCCUGGGCUCUGUCUGCACAGAAUCCUGAGUAAAUGGUGGGCACUGCUGUAGCUCACAUCCCUGGAUCUCUCUUUCCCAUCGUGGCAAAAGGCUGGGUUGAGGAUGGGAGACCAUACUGAGGAAGUCAAGAGAUUAAGUGAAGUCACACUGGGCACUAAGACACCAGCCUCUCUCCUGGGAUGCUUGCAAGAUGCUGGAUGUGCCCUCUUGGAAGACUCAGAGGAAAGACCCAAAGAUGUUCACAGCAAUGGGGUGCCCCCAAAUGGCCCAGCCACAUUGCCCUAUGGAUCCUUUAGUAGCGUCCAUUUAUACUCCACCCACCCGCUCACAUCCCCCAAGAAGUGGGUCUCCUUGACUAGUGACCCCCAACAUUCCUUCCAGCCCUGGUUUGUUGUCAUGGCUGAUAAGCUUCUCACCUACCUGCUCAGAGCCGCCAGAUCUGUGGUCCCUCUGAGACUACACUGGGAGAAAAAACUUAAAUUAUUGCAAUCCUCAGAGAAAUGAGGAAAGAUGUUAUGUUACAACUGUAAGAACAACAGGAAGUGGCUAUAAAAAUGAACAGCAAAUGGAAACACUCUUGGAAAUUAAAACUAUGCUAGGAAACACGAAAAUCUCAACAGAAAAUCUGGAAGAUAUAAUUAAGGAAAUUUUCUGGAAAAUAGAGCAGAAAGAAAAGGAUGGGAAAUCGGAGUGAAAUGAACAUUAGAGGACCUGCCUCAGAGGCCAAUAGGCAAGUAUCAGGCAUUCCAGAAAUAAGAGAACAGAACAAUGGAGGGGAAGGAAAUCAAAGAAACAAUUCAAGCCAAUUUCCCACAACUGAGAUGUGAAUUUCAUCUCAUCAACAAUGGUGGUAAAAAAUGUUUGAGACUGAGUUAAUAAAAAGAAUUCCUCAUCCAGCCAAACUUCAGUCUAACAUUGAGUGUUAGACAAAUGUGCUUCAGAUAUAUAACAUCUCACAACUUCACCUCCCACACCAGAGUUUCACAGUUCACAGGAAGGUCCACCAGAACAAGGGAAUAAACCAAGAAAGAGGCGGGGUCCAGGGAACAUGGAGAAAGAGGAGGUGGGAAGCGUGGAUGAUGGCAGCCAGAGGGCGGUGUGGCUGAGAUGGACAACAGGGGGCCUCUUGCCUGAGAUGCCUGGACUAU